CCUACGGGGGGCAGCAGUGAGGAAUAUUGGUCAAUGGCCGUAAGGCUGAACCAGCCAAGUAGCGUGAGGGAAGACUGCCCUAUGGGUUGUAAACCUCUUUUAUGCGGGGAUAAAGGUGUCCACGUGUGGAUGUUUGCAGGUACCGCAUGAAUAAGGAACGGCUAAGUCCGUGCCAGCAGCCGCGGUAAUACGGAAGGUCCGGGCGUUAUCCGGAUUUAUGGGGUUUAAAGGGAGCGUAGGCCGGUCUUUGAGCGUGCCGGGAAAUUUUGUGGCUCAACCAUGGGAGUGCGGCGCGAACUGGAGACCUUGAGUGCGCGGAAGGCAGGCGGAAUUCGUGGUGUAGCGGUGAAAUGCUUAGAUAUCACGAAGAACCCCGAUUGCGAAGGCAGCCUGCCGCAGCGUUACUGACGCUGAAGCUCGAAAGCGCGGGUAUCGAACAGGAUUAGAUACCCUAGUAGUC
rnacentral:rRNA from 1 species